AUUUGGGUAGCUCUGUGGUUAGCACGUUGAGCCAGCAACCCUAGGCUCGUGGGUUCGAAUCUCCGCCUCGGAAA